rnacentral:rRNA from 1 species
CCUACGGGUGGCAGCAGUGGGGAAUAUUGGUCAAUGGGGGAAACUCUGAUGCAGCGACGUCGCGUGAGUGAAGACGUAUCUCGGUAUGUAAAGCUCUAUCAGCAGGGAAGAAAAUGACGGUACCUGAUUAAGAAGCUCCGGCUAACUACGUGCCAGCAGGCGCGGUAAUACGUAGGGGGCAAGCGUUAUCCGGAUUUACUGGGUGUAAAGGGAGCGUAGACGGCAGGACAAGUCUGGAGUGAAAUGCCGGGGCUUAACCCCGGAACUGCUGUGGAAACUGUGCAGCUAGAGCGCAGGAGAGGUGAGUGGAAUUCCUGGUGUAGCGGUGAAAUGCGUAGAUAUUAGGAGGAACACCAGUGGCGAAGGCAGCUUACUGGACUGUAACUGACGUUGAGGCUCGAAAGCGUGGGUAGCAAACAGGAUUAGAUACCCCAGUAGUC